rnacentral:rRNA from 1 species
AUUGAACGCUGGCGGAAUGCUUUACACAUGCAAGUCGAACGGCAGCACGGACUUCGGUCUGGUGGCGAGUGGCGAACGGGUGAGUAAUACAUCGGAACGUGCCCAAUCGUGGGGGAUAACGUAGCGAAAGCUACGCUAAUACCGCAUACGAUCUAAGGAUGAAAGCGGGGGAUCGCAAGACCUCGCGCGAUUGGAGCGGCCGAUGGCAGAUUAGGUAGUUGGUGGGGUAAAGGCUCACCAAGCCGACGAUCUGUAGCUGGUCUGAGAGGACGACCAGCCACACUGGGACUGAGACACGGCCCAGACUCCUACGGGAGGCAGCAGUGGGGAAUUUUGGACAAUGGGCGAAAGCCUGAUCCAGCCAUUCCGCGUGCAGGAUGAAGGCCCUCGGGUUGUAAACUGCUUUUGUACGGAACGAAAAGGCUCUGGUUAAUACCUGGGGCCCAUGACGGUACCGUAAGAAUAAGCACCGGCUAACUACGUGCCAGCAGCCGCAGUAAUAC